rfam:Schistosoma curassoni strain Dakar, Senegal genome assembly, scaffold: SCTD_scaffold0004032
GCACUGCUGAGGAGUCCCACAAUAGGACGAACCGGCCGUCCAGCGC